UGGUGAAUUCUUCAGAGAUGAGAAGGGUGUGAAGUUCUUCAAGGGAGAUGGUACCACUUCGAGUUUGGAUUGACGUGCGAAAGGUGUUGAAGGUUGCAAGAAGUCCAUUUAAGAUGGAGUUUUCUUUAUGGUGUAAAGGGCAGAUCGAAGAUCAAGAAUAUUGGAUCUGGUGUUGCAGGAGUACCUCUUUUCUAGAGAGAACCACAAUGCUUUUGAUGAGGUUGUGCCGACUACAUGAGCAAGAGCCGAAGGGGAUAAGGUUGCGUUGAUGAGGGUGAUAAAAGCUUGGUCACAAAAGAGCCAACGAAGAUGCUCAAGAUUUAUUUCAAGGAUGGUUCCAGCAGAUGUUGAAGGUAAAAAUUUGGGAGGGCAGGGAAGAGAAUUGUCAAUGUGACUGUUCACAAGAGAUUUUCGGAGAAAUUUAAUUUGUGGACUUGAACUUGAGUGUUCAUGUUGUAUCUUUGUUGAUUUGAUGCGAUGCGGUUCAAUCUCUAGAAUUUGAUCAUCUGAUUCUCUCUCGACUGAAUGCCUACGCUUGAUUUGGAGGAAGCGGAGCACAUGACAUUCUUGACGUUUGUUGAACGUCUACGCUUGAUUUGGAAAAGCGGAACACGUAAUGUGGAAAAGCGGAACACGUAAUGUUCUUCAAGUUGGUUGAAUGCUUACGCUUGAUUUGAGGAAGCGGAACACGUGAUGUUCUUGAAGUUGAAGUCUUGGAAGAAAGUUUGUAUCUUCAAAUGAGCUUCAAUCUUCGAGGGUCGACUUCAGGAGUUAGGGAAUUUUCUAGUUUUUGGGAGAAUUCUCUCUAGACCUUUUGGAGUAAAAAAUUUCCAACAUCUACAAAUGAUGAAAAUUUCUCUAUUUAUAGAGUUCACUGGUGGGCUUUAUGGGCUUGAACCUGAUUGGUCCAUGGACCAGACCCAUGGGCCCAACCAUAUGGAUUUAGGUUAUAUUUAAUCUUUUGCUUAUUUUUGGGCUUAAUUGAACCAAAAUGAUUAACUUAAUCCAAUGAUUAAGAUAAAAACAUGUGACAUUAUUAGAAUGGUCAAUUUAUGUUUUUCAAUUCUUUAA